GCUUAUCCCAUGUUCCUGCAGAAGGAAGUCUCUGCCAUCUGUCCUCCAACCUUCUUUUGCAUGGACGUUAUUUGCAAAUAUUGGCCUUACAUCAGCAGAAUUUGUGAAGCCUACCCUGAAUAUCAUCACCUCACUACUAUGCAACCCUUUCUGUCUGUGCUCCAUGCUAAAGCACACGGUAUCAAGUGUGAGAUAAAAUGGGGAGGAGGAAAUCAGGAUGGAGCUGGUUCCACCUUGGGAGAGGAGGUGGAAAUGGUCAACUCCUUCCUCUCCAGGACUGCCAUAAACACCAAGUUUAUGGGAAAAGGAGCCCGCACAGACAUGCUGACUGUCCAGAUCAUGGACUGGAACUAAAGGAAGGUGAAAAACAUGUGCAAUACCUUAUGCUCCAGAUUUCAUAAGACACAAAGGGAUCUUCAGAGGGAGAAGCAGAGCCUAGAGGCUAUCAAGGAGGACCUGUCUUUGAAUGAUGAGACUGUGCGGCAGUGGGUCACAGAUGUACAGGAUUGGGCUGAACAUGAUUCACCAGCUGGCAGCAGUGAUUCUCUCCUGGAAGUGAGGAGAAGAAUUGAGGAGAAUUCACUGGGCCUGAGACAGCUUAGAGCCCGUCUCUACAGUCAUACAGACACCAACUCAGGACGCUCUGUGAUUCUCAGCCGCAUGUGGAGGGAAAGGAACCAGCUUGAGGUCCAUGUGGCUCAGCACGACGAGAUGGUCCAGCCACAACAGCAAAUUGGUGCUGUUGACAAUCUCUUAAAUGCUGGCUACAUCUUUCCGUGCCUGUUGCCGCCCAGUGGUAUAUUACCUAUUUAAUUAUUUGUCAUGAUUCUGAUUGAGGGUGUCCCAGGUGCCAGCAGGUGAACUAAGCAUUGUGGACGAUAUAGACACAGCUUGAUUGGUAUUGUUGUAGCAUAUACAUUAAUUCUGUGAACUUCUACGGUGUUUGGUUUGUUAGUCAUUCCGAAGAGUUUCUGUCGUAUCUAAGAGGGUUGCUAUGGACGCUUUUGUCGCUCCUUGCCGUCAAACCGCAACACUUUGUAAAUUGCCCCCGUUACAUUACUAUCUUUUCAUAUAGUGCAAGGCAUUGGUAGAAGAAGGACACACAAGAUGUGUAUUUAAUCAGGACAAAAUGCCUUUUUAUUUUCCUCGCCCCAUAAAUUCCUCGCUCUACAGCACAUAACCACGUCCGUAACAAGAGCCGUGCGCCGGACGUUGCGUCAUUCUCCUUCCCCCCCCCCAACCCCGCCUCCACACUGCCUCGCGCCGGAUGUUGAGUCAUUCUUCUCCUUCACCUACCGCACCUUACCUGUCCCUUGCUCCAAGCAUAUACAUUCGUCAAUGGUUUGCUACUACCACCUGCCUUAACUUUUUGUGAAUAUGGGGAGAGAAGAGUCAUAGGGAAAAAUGAUGAUGCUAUUAUUUUUGAAAUAAUGUAUCCCAUUUGUUUUUUAGUUUUAAAUCUGUUUUCCUCAAUGGUUUUUCCCCUUCCACCUCUGUGAACUAAUGCAUGUAAUUUUCAUGGAUGCAUUUUUAGAUGGCAUUGAUUUCCUUGCAAAAAAUAAGGUGUUUGACAAUGUCAUGCAUGUGAAAAGACUUGAGGAGGAGGUCAAAAUCCUUGCUACCGAAGUAAGGCAGCAUUGGGAGUACCUCAAGAAAAGAGAGCAUGACUUGUGUUGGGACAUGGUUUUUGUGCAAACCACAGGCCUCCUCUAAGUCAAACUUGCUGCAUGUGCUGGAGUGGACUCAAUCCCCCAAGAUGCAACAGGUUCCAUUGAUCUUUGAAAGUCAAGGAACUCAGUCUCCCAGAGGAUGUAACAGGAUGCUGCAUGUCCUUGGGGUCAGGGCAAUAUCACACAAAGGUGUCAAGAGCCACCAGGGUCAACUCCUAUUGGUCACUCUGGUCCAAGACCUGUGAGGUCACGGGGGCCAAUAUAAGGAGAGGUCUCCCCAAGAUCUUUCUCUUUCUACAAUCCUUCGAAGGCCAGCAGGCUGUCCAGCCUCUCUUCUCCUACAUCGCCAAGGGGGGGGGGCCUGGCUGAUCCAGCUUCCUUCUCUAUCCAACUCGCAACUGGAGGUCAGAGGUGCAGCUCCCCUGCCCACACUCUUCAAGGAAAUCUCCUCGCCCUUCAAGCUCUACCAAACUCCUCGUAGCGACGCGAUGUCCUGCAGGAAAACUUCAACCAGCAUCUUAGCACACGGCUCGACAGAAUCGCGAAUGCAGAAAUCUACGACCACAAAGCCAGGAGACGUCACAGAACUGCAAACUGAACAGCAACUUCUUUUCCUCUUUCCCUCGGACUGGUAACAUAAUCUGGGCUUAAUAAUUAUACUACGCUAAGCAAGACUGUUUAUUUGAUCGGUGUGUGCUUAUAAGUUUGAUAUAUGCUCUGACGUUGAAGGCAUAAGUUAAAGGAAGGUUACUAGUUAGGCUCGCCACAGGCUUUGUCCCUGACUAUCAUUAUCUGAUUAACAUCCACACAGACACGCAUAGCAUCUCACCUAGUUAAACCUUCCCCCUGUGCCGUGAGGCAACCUCAGAAGAAGGGGGGGGGGGGGGCUCUUAUCUUAGGGAGCAUUCUUUAAAGCAUGCUAAUUUACAUUCACACACACACUCACACACCUCCUAGUUAGUUAGUUUGAUUGUUUAGUAACUUGUGUUUUUAUACUUUAUUAUGUUAAUAAUAAAUGUUCUUCUUUCACAAAUGUUCUGUCAUUAAUAUUGCAUAAGUGAAUCUUGCCAACCGUUACACUGCUAAGAACUCCAUAACCUUCAUUGUUCAUUAUAUAAUCUUUAAUGGUCAAAUAUUGAGAUUUCUAAUUGAACAAGAUCUAAAUGAGACUGAUCUUAAUCAAUAAAUUGGCUAUCUUUUCCCUUCUAUGAAGGGUGGUGCCCCGCGAGAACUUUAACCAAUUAAAGUUAUGAUUUAAUAUUAAUAUUUUAAAUAUUAAUGUUUUACAUUUUAUUUUGAUAACCAAAUUUAUUGAGUGCCUAAAGGCACACCAUUCUAUGGUAACUCUU